CUACAAAUAACUGCUUCUGACUUUUCAAUAGCUACAGCUCUACUUUUGUUUCCUGCCUUAGCAUAUCAGAUGUAGCAUGCAUCCUUUUAAAAUUAGGGAAAUAAGAAAAAAAAUCAGUACUUUAUGUACAACUGUGGGAAGGGAGGCUUUGAGUAAGAAAGGUAAAAGGAGAAUGAAAAUGAUUUUAGCAGCCAAGGUGUAAUACGAUGAUGACCUGAAACAAAAAGAGAGCUAAGGUAAUA
rnacentral:lncRNA from 1 species